rnacentral:miRNA from 1 species
AACUGAAGGACAACGAGAAGA